rnacentral:rRNA from 1 species
GACGAACGCUGGCGGCGUGCCUAAUACAUGCAAGUCGAGCGAAAAGACCCGGCGCUUGCUGGUCUGACGUUAGCGGAGCAGGUGUGAGUCACGCGAGGAUCACCUCCCUAUAUUUGUGAUAUAUCUUUGGAACACCGGCGCUAAUCCGGGAGAAUAUAUUGCACCGCAUGGUUCAAUAGUGAAAGACGGUUUUGCUGUCACUUAUAGAUGGAUCCGCGCCGCAUUAGCUAGUUGGUGAGGUAACAGCUUUUCAAGGCGACGAUGCGUAGCCGACCUGAUAGGGUGAUCGGCCACACUGGAGCUGAGACACGGUCCAGACGCCUACGGGAGGCAGCAGUAGGGAAUCUUCCGCAGUGGGCGAAAGCCUGACGGAGCAACGCCGCGUGAGUGAUGAAGGUCUUCGGAGCGUAAAACUCGGUUAUGAGGGAAGAACAAAUGUGUAAGUAACUAUGCACGUCUUGACGGUACCUAAUCAGAAAGCCACGGCUAACUACGUG